rnacentral:rRNA from 1 species
CCAGACUCCUACGGGAGGCAGCAGUGAGGAAUAUUGGUCAAUGGCCGAGAGGCUGAACCAGCCAAGUCGCGUGAGGGAAGACGGCCCUACGGGUUGUAAACCCCUUUUGUCGGGGAGCAAAGCGAACCACGUGUGGUUCAUUGAGAGUACCCGAAGAAAAAGCAUCGGCUAACUCCGUGCCAGCAGCCGCGGUAAUACGUAGGGGGCGAGCGUUAUCCGGAUUUACUGGGUGUAAAGGGAGCGUAGACGGCGGCGCAAGUCUGAAGUGAAAGCCCGUGGCUCAACCGCGGAACCGCUUUGGAAACUGCGUGGCUGGAGUGCUGGAGAGGUAAGCGGAAUUCCUGGUGUAGCGGUGAAAUGCGUAGAUAUCAGGAGGAACACCGGUGGCGAAGGCGGCUUACUGGACAGUGACUGACGUUGAGGCUCGAAAGCGUGGGGAGCGAACAGGAUUAGAUACCCUUGUAACA